GCCGGGGUCGCCUAGCCUGGUAGGGCGCGCGCUUGGAGAGCGCGUUCCCGCAAGGGAACGGGAGUUCGAAUCUCCCUCCCGGCGCCA
rnacentral:tRNA from 2 species